rnacentral:rRNA from 1 species
CGGGGGGCAGCAGUGGGGAAUUUUGGACAAUGGGGGCAACCCUGAUCCAGCAAUGCCGCGUGAGUGAAGAAGGCCUUCGGGUUGUAAAGCUCUUUUGUCAGGGAAGAAACGGUACGGCUUAAUACGCUGUGCUAAUGACGGUACCUGAAGAAUAAGCACCGGCUAACUACGUGCCAGCAGCCGCGGUAAUACGUAGGGUGCAAGCGUUAAUCGGAAUUACUGGGCGUAAAGCGUGCGCAGGCGGUUAUGUAAGACAGAUGUGAAAUGCCCGGGCUUAACCUGGGAACUGCAUUUGUGACUGCAUGGCUAGAGUGUGUCAGAGGGGGGUAGAAUUCCACGUGUAGCAGUGAAAUGCGUAGAGAUGUGGAGGAAUACCGAUGGCGAAGGCAGCCCCCUGGGAUAACACUGACGCUCAUGCACGAAAGCGUGGGGAGCAAACAGGAUUAGAUACCCGAGU